rnacentral:rRNA from 1 species
GACGAACGCUGGCGGCGUGCCUAAUACAUGCAAGUCGACCUUAGUGGCGAACGGGUGAGUAACACGUGGGUAACCUGCCCAUCAGAAGGGGAUAACACUUGGAAACAGGUGCUAAUACCGUAUACUGAAGGAUGGACCCGCGGUGCAUUAGCUAGUUGGGGAGGUAACGGCUCACCAGGGCCACGAUGCAUAGCCGACCGGGAAGGGUGUUCGGCCACAGUGGGACUGAGACACGGCCCAACAGCCUACGGGAGGAAGCAGGAGGGAAUCUUCGGCAAUGGACGAAAGUCUGACCGAGAAACGCCGCGUGAGUUAAGAAGGUUUUCGGAUCGUAAAACUCUGUUGUUAGAGAAGCGGUAUCUAACCAGAAAGCCACGGAUAACUACGUGCCAGCAGCCGCGGUAAGUC